CCCUCGGCUCCUCGUGACGCGCCCCCGCUAACCCCGUCAGAUCCGGAAGGAAGCAGCGGUCCGUGACGGGCGCGGGUCGUGGAUCACCGGGGGGUU
rnacentral:SRP_RNA from 1 species